AAACACGUGGUUCCUGUUGAUAUUUUUAGUUUAUCGCAUUGUUCUUGCGUUGACUUGUAAAGAAAAGUAUUCUACGGGUUGUUAAGGGAAUCAAGAACACGGACACUAAAUAGGACUUCUGUUAAAAAACUUAGAGGAUUAUUUUUAACGUCAGAAGCUGUUAACGUCAGUCAUAAUAUUAUAUAAUUGGUAUUCUUUUUUUCAGAUUUACACUAGCUCCUCUGAAAAUCUUAAAUGGGAAGAAAUAGUAUAGAUACCAGCUCGUAUAACAAAGAAUAAAUACGUUCAUUCAAAAUGGAUAUAAAAACGACAGGGAAAGAAUACAGAAAUACAUUUGUGUUGUCAGGAGCCUUUACAGCAAUAUUUACUGCCUACCUUGCAAUACAAAAUCUUCAAAGUAGUUUGAAUCAAGAGCAAGGCCUUGGAAUCAUCUCCUUGUCAUGUAUGUAUGCUUGUAUAAUAAUUUCUGGCAUCCUCGCACCUGCCAUCAUUCAUGUUUUUGGGGAGAAAAAAAUUCUCGUAAUCUCGUUCAUAUGUCACGUGAUCUAUAUAGGAACUAAUUUUUAUCCAACAUUUGCGACAUUAGUGCCCUCAUCAGUGUUGUUAGGCCUUACUGCUGGACCAAUGUGGACGUCUCAAAGUGUGUAUCUGGCUGAUAUGGCGUUUUCCUACGCAGCAAAAUCUUCGAAAGAUGGUCAUGCUGUCCUAAGUAAAUUUAAUGGAAUUUUCUUUGCAAUGUUUGGAACCACACAAAUAACUGGAAACCUGAUUUCAUCGCUAGUUCUUCAACAGGGCGGUGUCAACAAUAACUCCUCAAUCAACGAAACUGCUGUAAAAUUUUGUGGCAGUGAAGAUUGUCCUAUGGCGGUCAAUGCCACAAAAAUUGAUGAACCCGAUCGUCAUAUUGUUUAUGUUCUUUUAGGGAUAUUUUUAGUAUGUGAUGUUUUUGGUGUUAUUCUUACAUCUUGUUUCUUGCCGUCGAUAAACAAACCAGCUUCAAAAGAAAAAGUAAAUCUGUUGAAAUCUUUAGCGUCAUGUGGAAAGGGACUCACAGAUUUAAACCUUGUAUUUCUGUUACCCUUAAUAAUGUUUAUGGCGAUGGAGCAAGCAAUUCUGUGGACUGAUUAUACAAAGGCAUUCAUCAGCUGCCCAUUAGGAAUUCAGAAGCUUGGAUUUGUCAUGGCAACCUAUGGUGGCUCCACAACAGUAUUCGCACUCAUAUUUGCUCGAAUCUCGAAAUAUACGGGACGAUAUAUUUUAUUUGCUCUUGCUGGUCUGCUGAAUCUUGGUAUUUUGAUAACGUUAUAUAUGUGGAUACCAAGUUCUGAGGAUGUUGUUCUGAUAUUUUUGAUACCAGUUAUCUGGGGCGUGGCUGAAGGAAUAUGGCAAAUACAGUCAAAUGCCCUGAUUGCACUGUUAUUCCCGGAAAAGAAAGACUCCGCCUUUGCCAAUUAUCAUACCUGGAAAGCCAUUGGUUUUACAUUGACAUUUAUUUAUGGAAACCUUCUCUGUGUGUCAAUAAAAUUAAUAAUCGCCAUAAGUUUACUGACGGUGUCGAUGAUUUUAUAUUUAAUUGUAGAAAUAAGAGUAAAACAAAGGAAAUCUAACCGUGAAAAAAAGACAGAAGAAGGAAAUCAAUUAGAUCCAGGUAGCAAUACCUAUUAUGGUUGAAAAGCUCACAGUCACAUUUUUCUCUCACUGAUUUGACUUACAUAUUCGCAACAUCAUUACAGCUGUAAAAUUUCGUAUAGGAAUUGCUGUUCCUUGCCGCGAUACUGCCGCUCUUUCUCCUGUAUGGUUUCAGAAUGCAGCUUUAAAAACCAGAAAAUAACUCCAGGAUCGAUGUACGGCUCCAGCAGGACGGCGGAAAUCGAAAACCUCAACAUUCAACAAUCAGAAGGAAUCCCGGCAUGAACCCGUAUAUGUUAGCGGCAAGUGAACAUCGGACGCAUAACUUUACCUCUUGCAUAUGAUAUAAACCUCUGUUUCCGAGGGCCAAAUUGACAAUUACUAACAUGAUUCAAAUCCUCUAUGGUCCGAACGAUUGGAACUAAUUGUUGCUGUUGUUGUUUAAACAAUGCCAAUUUGGGGUGUGUGUGGUGACUUACUGUUUUUUGAAACAAUGCCCUUUUGGGGCGUUAUUAUGAUUUUAAUUUACUCAUAGUUGCCGGGAUACCCUAAGUGGUUGUUUGUAAUGACUGAGUAUCUCGAAUUGUUGUUGAAAAUUUAAAAUUGUGAAAAGUGAAAUAUUGUUCUUGUUGAAUGAAACUUGGGACGUUUACACUUUUCGAAAAAAUGAUAAAUAUUAACAUUUUUUAAACUACGGAGCCGUGCCAUUCUUAAAGUUCAGUAAUAAAAUUUAGUGUUUGUGUUUACAAUUAUUGG